rnacentral:misc_RNA from 1 species
GAUGAAGAACGUAGCGAAAUGCGAUACGUAAUGUGAAUUGCAGAAUUCAGUGAAUCAUCGAGUCUUUGAACGCACAUUGCGCCCCCUGGUAUUCCGGGGGGCAUGCCUGUCCGAGCGUCAUUGCUGCCCUCAAGCACGGCUUGUGUGUUGGGCAUCCGCCCCCCGGCUCCCGGGGGGCGGGCCCGAAAGGCAGCGGCGGCACCGCGUCCGGUCCUCGAGCGUAUGGGGCUUCGUCACCCGCUCCGUAGGCCCGGCCGGCGCCCGCCGGCGACCCCCCUCAAUCUUUCCAGGUUGACCUCGGAUCAGGUAGGGAUACCCGCUGAACUUAAGCAUAUCAAUAAGCGGAGGA